GACGUAGGGGGCGAGCGUUGUCCGGAAUCAUUGGGCGUAAAGAGCUCGUAGGUGGUUUGUCGCGUUGUUCGUGAAAACUCACAGCUUAACUGUGGGCGUGCGGGCGAUACGGGCAGACUGGAGUACUGCAGGGGAGACUGGAAUUCCUGGUGUAGCGGUGGAAUGCGCAGAUAUCAGGAGGAACACCGGUGGCGAAGGCGGGUCUCUGGGCAGUAACUGACGCUGAGGCGCGACAGCGUGGGGAGCAAACAGG
rnacentral:rRNA from 1 species